rnacentral:rRNA from 1 species
UGGGGAAUAUUGCGCAAUGGCCGCAAGGCUGACGCAGCGACGCCGCGUGUGGGAUGACGGCCUUCGGGUUGUAAACCACUGUCAGGGGGAACGAAUACGGGACCUCGAAUAGGGGCUCCUGGGUGACGGUACCCCCAAAGGAAGCACCGGCUAACUCCGUGCCAGCAGCCGCGGUAAUACGGAGGGUGCGAGCGUUGUCCGGAAUCACUGGGCGUAAAGGGCGCGUAGGCGGCUCGUUAAGUUGCCGGUGAAAGCCCGGGGCUCAACUCCGGGAAGUCUGGUAAGACUGACGAGCUCGAGCACGGUAGAGGCAGAUGGAAUUCCCGGUGUAGCGGUGGAAUGCGUAGAGAUCGGGAAGAACACCAGUGGCGAAGGCGGUCUGCUGGGCCGUUGCUGACGCUGAGGCGCGACAGCGUGGGGAGCAAACAGG